rnacentral:lncRNA from 1 species
UUUCUGGAUAGCAACAGAAACAGGAAGGGAAACCGCUGAACUUGGAAGAAGCAAGAGAGAAAGAAAGCCAUGUUGUUGAAGUCAUGUGAAUCCCAGGAGCUACACAGUGAUGGUUAGCUAUCGUAUGACUCUCUUAUGAGGGCUUGGCUGCAGACUGCCUAUUGUCUAUCAAAUUAACGAGCCAUCUCUACUGAUGCCCGGUGUCUCCUGGCAAUGAGAAGGACAGCAGGAAGAGGGUGUGAUGCCUGCCAGCAAAACCACUUAGGCUGCACUCUAAGAGACCCUGCUCUUUCCCAGAGGGUCUGCUGCUUGCCUACCAAGUACAAGGACAAGCAAAUGAUUUGUAAAGAAAGACUAUUAAUGUCCCUCUCCUGCACAAGUACUUCAAGCAUUCUUGCAGGCACCCUUGGAAGCUAA